rnacentral:rRNA from 1 species
UGGGGAAUAUUGCAGCAAUGGGCGCAAGCCUGAUGCAGCCAUGCCGCGUGUGUGAAGAAGGCCUUCGGGUUGUAAAGCACUUUCAGCAGAGGAGGAAGGUGGUGAACUUAAUACGUUCAUCAAUUGACGUUACUCGCAGAAGAAGCACCGGCUAACUCCGUGCCAGCAGCCGCGGUAAUACGGAGGGUGCAAGCGUUAAUCGGAAUUACUGGGCGUAAAGCGCACGCAGGCGGUUUGUUAAGUCAGAUGUGAAAUCCCCCGGGCUCAACCUGGGAACUGCAUUUGAAACUGGCAAGCUAGAGUCUCGUAGAGGGGGGUAGAAUUCCAGGUGUAGCGGUGAAAUGCGUAGAGAUCUGGAGGAAUACCGGUGGCGAAGGCGGCCCCCUGGACGAAGACUGACGCUCAGGUGCGAAAGCGUGGGAGCAAACAGGAUUAGAUACCCUGGUAGUCCACGCUGUAAACGAUGUCGAUUUGGAGGUUGUGCCCUUGAGGCGUGGCUUCCGGAGCUAACGCG